AGUGAACGCUGGCGGUAGGCCUAACACAUGCAAGUCGAACGGCAGCACAGUAAGAGCUUGCUCUUACGGGUGGCGAGUGGCGGACGGGUGAGGAAUACAUCGGAAUCUACUUUUUCGUGGGGGAUAACGUAGGGAAACUUACGCUAAUACCGCAUACGACCUACGGGUGAAAGCAGGGGAUCUUCGGACCUUGCGCGAUUGAAUGAGCCGAUGUCGGAUUAGCUAGUUGGCGGGGUAAAGGCCCACCAAGGCGACGACCCGUAGCUGGUCGGAGAGGAUGAUGAGCCGCAGUGGAAGUGAGACACGGUGCAGACGCCUACGGGAGGCAGCAGUGGGGAAUGGUGGAGAAUGGGGGGAAGCGUGAUGCAGCGAUACGGCGUGGGUGAAGAAGGCCUUCGGGUUGUAAAGCCCUUUUGUUGGGAAAGAAGGGCGGCGGGUUAAUACGCCGCUGUUGUGACGGUACCCAAAGAAUAAGCACCGGCUAGCUUCGUG
rnacentral:rRNA from 1 species